rnacentral:rRNA from 1 species
UACGUAGGGGGCUAGCGUUGCUCGGAAUCACUGGGCGUAAAGGGUGCGUAGGCGGUUCUUUAAGUCAGGGGUGAAAUCCUGGAGCUCAACUCCAGAACUGCCUUUGAUACUGAGGAUCUUGAGUUCGGGAGAGGUGAGUGGAACUGCGAGUGUAGAGGUGAAAUUCGUAGAUAUUCGCAAGAACACCAGUGGCGAAGGCGGCUCACUGGCCCGGAACUGACGCUGAGACGCGAAAGCGUGGGGAGCAAACAGG